AUGACCACUCUGAUCCUCCUGCUGACCACACUGAGCUUCUUUCCUCAAGUGUCCCACCAAGAGGUCCAGACUCCUGAGAGAAGUUCUGUUGAAGCAGGACAGUCCGUCACUUUCAGCUGUGUUGCGAGUGGUGGGAUUGGUUAUUCUAUGAGUUGGUACCAGCUGAAACCUGGAGCAGCUCCCAAACUGCUGAUUUAUGAAUCAAGUUAUAGAAGUUCUGGAGUUCCAGAGCGAUUCAGUGGAACAAAUUCUGGAUACACCUUUACGAUGACCAUCAGUGGAGUCCGGCCGGAAGAUGCAGGAGAGUAUUACUGUAUGGGUUACUAUCAUUUUAGUGGAGUGUCCACACAGUGA